rnacentral:rRNA from 1 species
UACGUAGGGUGCGAGCGUUGUCCGGAAUUAUUGGGCGUAAAGAGCUCGUAGGCGGUUUGUUGCGUCUAUCGUGAAAACCUGCAGCUUAACUGUGGGCUUGCGGUGGAUACGGGCAGACUUGAGUUCGGUAGGGGAGACUGGAAUUCCUGGUGUAGCGGUGAAAUGCGCAGAUAUCAGGAGGAACACCGGUGGCGAAGGCGGGUUCUG